UGGGGUUUUGUGUGUGUUUUUUGCACAAGUUUGGGUGAACUAUUUUUGGAUCAGUUGUAGUCAGCAUGAAGAAGGAUUGGAGAAGUUGAAUUCAAGGUGAAGAAGAGAAACAUGUCACCUUGCUUCUUCCUUUUUUUCAACUUGAAGAUUUACAGCAGCCUGGUAUGCCCCACUUCUUUCCUUCUCUUUCCCCCCUCAAAAACUGCAUAGAUCAGAUCUUCUUGGUCUUUACCUUGACAGAUCUUCCAUGACAACUCUAUAGAUAGGGAAGGCUCCCAUGGCGUGUUCCUGACUGCUUUUUCGUGGGAAAGAUGGUGGGCGAAGCAGUAGGAGAUGGGUUGGUGCGCGUCAUGUGAUUGGUGAGACCAGGUCGGAGGAAGAGAAAGGGAGGAGGGGAAAAUCAUGUGAGUUCAGGACUGAAGUGGGCGCUGGGACCUGAUGCUUUUUGUACAGUGGGGGGUUGUCCUUUCCCUUCUUUUCCUUUUUGGGAUUAGAUGGGGACAGAAACUUACCAUAUAUAGGAGGCCGCGGGACCGCUAGGGAGCCAACGGCCGCUCCCUAGACGCGUCCAAUUGUUUAACUGGUCACUGAAGUCCAUUCAAUGAUAAAGUAGGUAGAAAGUAACAAACUAGACCACAAUGAAGCUACUGAACCUGCUAAAUUAUGC
rnacentral:lncRNA from 1 species